UUCCAAAGGAAGUGAAGAGCCGCAUGUCACCUGCACAGUGUGCAGAAUCAUGCUAAGAAUAUAACUCAACAUUUCAGCCGAUGAUGUAGAGACAGAUUGGACUGCGUUGCAAGAAAAAACAGGCAAACUUUGCUUCGUGCACUAAAGAAAAACAAGGGAUAAUGCAUUAGAGCCUUCAACGAGGAGAAACAAAAGUAGAACUCCUCACUUUUUCUUCUACGAGUGGAUAUCAUUUUAGUGAACUCAUUAGUAGUUUAUUUUACUAAGGACUGAACACAUACACACGAUUGUUGCCAAAAUGUCAAACGUCUUGUGUAACACAGACAGAAAUGUUUGAAGAAGAACACUGAAACCUGAAUGAUGCCCAUCAAACUGCAGUUUGAUCAUCAGAGGAGCAAGAACGAGAAGAUGAAGAACAAACAAGAAAAGUCACAAAUGAAAGUGUCAGGAGAUGCAAAUACAGCGAAACCUGUUCGAUGGGACAGCAUGGAGCAUGUGAGACCAGACUUCUCUUGUGAUCAUCCAGAGAAGGUCCAGGAUGAGCACCUUUUAAGAACUCAAGGACAUUACACAAAAUAAAACAAGCAACUGGAAAACGAGAUACACCUGACAAUCAGAGGAGACAUUCAGACAAACAGCUGUUUACAGCAAAUAACUGCAGAUAAGAGUUCAUGCAGUCAGAUGAUGAUGGACAUCAGUUAUGUCAAGAAGGUGCUCAUGUAACAUACAAACAAAGUUAGGACCAAAUACAGGUUUGGUUUGGUUUAUGUAGCUUUCUGUAUUACCGAAUUUGAAUGAGAUGCUGUUCUGUCAUUUAUUCAUUGUGGUGCAGUUUUGAACUUGAAUUCUCGCACUGUAUUUAUUGCACUUUAUUUCCUGCUCUUUGAACUCUUUUCUUUUUUUGAGAACUAGGCAAAUGUGUUUUGUAAAGCCUUACAUUACAUGAAACCAAAUCUGUUUUUGUGGUUCACAAAUCUUAGGCGUCAUAUAGGGGUUGAUAACAGUGACCACUUUUUGAUCUUUGUCCCUCGCGUUAUAUCUGGCAACCCUUGAAGCUUUAAUGAAGAGAACACUCUUGUGUGAAGAAAGAGUUCAGAAAAGAGCAGCACAAGAAGCUACUGUUAAUGAUGACUGAUCAGGAGUUAUAUAACAGUGUUUUAAAUCACACACACACUUUAACCAAAUUACUUUCAGGCCCCAUGGGAACUGUUGUAUUCAGACGUCCAUUCUUUAAAUCUUUUAAAUGUUGUUUAACUGAUAAUACUAAAGUUUAUGCACUGAUUUGUGGACAAUCAUAUUUUAUAUAUAAAAAAAUGUUUUAUAUUAUAAUUGACAUUGUUUCUUCUGACUGUAUUUUUUACAUAAAAGGUGUCAAACAUAUUAUUUGGUUUAUGAAAGGUGUCAAUAAAAGUUUUAAU